UCUCUCCUCUGUUAAGACCCUGUGAAAAAAUAAGGAGAGGAAGAAGGCAAUCAAAGCAAAGACAUCAAGAGUUUAGCAGUUCUCUGUGAAAAUGUCCCAGAUCUUCAGAGGUUGAUAGAUCAGCUGCAUCUGACUUUAUUGGAGAGCUUUACUUUUAACAUCAAGGUGAUCAAGACACUUAGGUGUCAGGUGUUUGUGGUUUUUUUUCUGACACACUAGUGCUGCGCUGUACUUUACUGGGAAUUUUUAACUGUGGAGAAAAUGUCAAAUAAGAUUACCUUCAAGACACACAAAAAUGGGUCUCAGCUACUCUGAGCUUCUGCUCAUCAUUUGUUGUCUCAGAUAAUAGAAGGAGAGGGUACCAUGAAAUAUUGGAAUACAUACUAAUAAUGCUAUAGGUUUCUGUCAUGGAUGGCAGCUUUCAAUCACCCUGACAAGUAGAGCACCUUGGUUAUUUUUUUUCUUGACACUUUAAAGGAUGCCACCUGGGAUAAGUUUCAAUCGUGUUCAAUUAGUCCACUAGAUGGAGCAUCUAGCAUUUCCAGGAAAAAGGGGAAAAAAGGUAUUUAAGAUGCUAAUUUUAAUAAAUAUAUGUUAAAACCACUGAAAGUUUGGGAGUAAAGAAACUAAAUCACAAUUUCAACUAAUGUUUACAAGGCAGUCUUUGAUUCAGCCUCAUUUACCAAAAUAACUCAAUUUGAAGAAUGAUUUCAAUAUUAAAAAAAAAUUAAAUAAAUUUUUAAAAAUCCACAAACAAAAGCAGAAGGAGGGGGGCAGAAGAAGAGGAAUGUUUUCAAGAUUCUCCAGUAAGUAAGAUUUCAGUGCUUUCUUUCAUUCUUUCAGAUUUCAUAUGUUUUGAUUUAUAUAAGCAGCCUGCAGAAAUCUUUGGAGGACAGUUUAUAUUAAUGCUGCAAAAGAGUAAUUUCUGUGGAGAAGAAAAAGAAAUUAUAAUGAAGCCUGUGUAGACUACUGUGAGUGAGAAAAAGGGGAAAUAUGAAAGAUACACUUCAGUGAAAGGGAAACAGCAGUGGAUAUUGUACUGCCAUAGGAAGGCUGUGAAAAUCAGGCAGGAGCUCCAAAGCGUUCUUUCAGUUCAGUGAGCAGUGAGAAAGUAAAGCCUGAGCGGCUGUGAGUUCCGAGGUAGUAGGUCAGCGCUGAUCUGCUCAAUCCACGGGCUUGGCACACCAAUGAUAUGCAUCAUUUGGGAUGUUGAAAUCAAUAGGACGUUAAGUAAGAGCUCCCUUAGUGCCCCUACCUUCUUUCCCUUACCCCUAGACAGAAGGCAUUUAUUUUCAGCAGCUAAAUAAGAAUGGAUUUCUUAAAACCUGGCUUUUGGCCAGGUUAAUUUAUGCAUACGCAAACUUAUGCUUCACCAAUUUACUAAAACCCAUCAUUUAAGGCUGUUCAAACGUGCAGCUGUUUAAAUGAGGUUGGAAGCAAUUUCACCACAUGAUGCUGAUGUCAGUAAAAGCUGAGUAUUAGCAAAAUGGGAAGGCAUCAAUGGAGUGUGUCUCCUACAGUGAUCUGUGUUCCCCUGUGUCUAAUGGAUCAGGGAGACAGACAUGCCUAGCUCAUCGUCCUGUAAAGUUAAAUUCAGAUCUAUUACCUAUUACAGACAUGUAUGUAUACGAGGGCAAGCAUUUUAAGUAGAAUGAGAAUUGUUUUGGUUCUGGCAAAAAUCCAGGGUGAGUCUGAAUGGAGACUUUCAGGAAAAACAGGAUGCAAAACUGCCAAGUGUGAAAAUGGCUACAAGUGAUAGUUUAUGUGGGGAAAAAAAAAUAAAAUUAAAAGCAAUCAGAAAUCUAGAUAUAUCUAUCAGAAAACGUACAUAAAAUGCAUUUCCCAGGGUGUGAUCCCAUGAAAAGAGAAUGUCAUGUUGUAUAAAAGCUCUGAGUAAGAUCUACAUCAGUUCUGGAUACUAAUUAUCAACUUCAUGUGCUGAUGAAAAUGUAAAUCUCUUUUAGAUGAAACAAAGUGCUCAGAAAUAAUUAUAAACUGCUCUGAAUUAUGCAGAUAAAUGGUUAUUCCACGCAAAAGUUUGUUCAUCUGAAAAUGGGCCUGCUUCACUCUGAAUCAUACAAAGAAAUCUUCUUUUUCUAUGUUGGUUAUAACUACGGCAGAUUUUGAUUUCUAUUCCACAUGUUUUUUAAGUGUGAAGAGACAGACACAAAGGCAUAAGAUUUUUUUCUUUUCAAAAUAUAAAGAAAAACUCCAUGAAAGAUCUCUGUUUAAUUGUCCUUAUGGGCAAAUAACAGACAAAAACAGAAC